GAGGGCUCCGCCGCCCGCCCGGGGUCGCAGAUUGCAAUCGCUCAGAAGUUCCCUGGCUGAGGCCCCCGGGGCUGCCAGGUCCGAGCCGCCGGCGGCAUUCCCCACACUCGCUGACUUACCUUUAUUUCGGCGAGGAGGAGUCUAAAGUUACGGUUUAACUCCAGUGCCAGCUCCCUAUUAGGAACGGUUUGCUUUCUGGGGGCGGGGGUGCCAGGAAAAGGGCUCUGAACGAAGGGUGGGGCGGCCCUGUUCCGAGCGGGCGCUCCUUCUUGAGAGAAUGGGUCGCGGAGACCGGAGUAAGAAAGAGGAAGUUUCGCCUAGGGAGUGAAGAGGGUUGGAGAAGAAACGUGGGAGCGGGGCGGGCUGGAGAGUCCCUGCGGCCCUCGCCCCAGUCCCGGUCGCCCUCUUGGCUCGCACAGCGGGGCGGUGGCCGAAGCUGCGUCCUCAGCGCCUCGCCCGUGUUAGGGAAUCGGGGAUCCCGGGCCCGGACUGUAAACUCGGAACUCACCAACCUCGUACCCCGGGCCUGACUGACCUGUAGUAAAGACGCUCUCGAAAGGCUUAGCUAAGUCUGGGUUCCGUGUCUAAGAAAAUUUCGCAUUCUGCUUUCAGAGAUGAAUACCAUAAAGGUUCUUUGCAUGGAAAUGGCUCUGAAGUGCAUCGAAGAACUGCAGUGACAAUUAGAAACCUUUCCUUCGACCCCCCCCCCCGGUUUUGUUUGAAAAAUGAGUAAUUGGACUUUGAAAACCAGUGACCCCUGUGCUCACCCUUUCAGAAAUGAAUCCAUAGCUCUGUAGAUUCAGGUUGAUUGAUCCACUGCAAUGCAGAAGCGCUCACACCAGAGGAACCGUGAAGUAUCUCAAAGGAGAGGGGGGAGUUACAACAGUAUUUGGGGGAACAUGUGGAGUUUUGAUGAAAUUGAAUGAAGCAGUGUUUUGAGAGGCUCCAAGCAAAGCAGAACUACAAAUAAAGGGACGAACAUCAGAUUUCCUUGAAUAUUGCAAAGUAGUUAAUACAGAUGCAGAAUAUUUUCAGAAAGCCUUUUUUGAAGCUAUCCAACUGCCUUGGAAAUCAAGUCUUCUCUAUCUCCUCCAGAAGAGACUGCUGUUCCUCAACACAAACAGUGAAAGAGUAGACUUUUGCAGAGUCUCGCUUUGUAAAGUUCAAGCUGGCCCUGAACUCACUGUGUAGCCCAAGCUGGUCUCGAAUUCAUGGUGAGCCUCCCACCUCAGCCUCCCGAAUGCUAGGAUUACAGAUGACAGUUGACCAAGGAUAAUUGAAAUUGCAGAAACUGAAACUGUGAAUAAGGGAGAACUACUCCAUAAACUCAGUCUUUAUGAAGAGCUGGUCUUUUUCAAGAUCCUGGAACUGUAAAUACAGUGUAUCAUUUAUGGGUGGGAAUUGAAUAGUGCUGGCAGUAAAAUAGUCUGAUAAAAGCUUGUCUGCUAGAUGAGCCAGUUAGGCAUCAAACCUUUUAUCCACAACAUUAAAAUGAAUGUGAUGAUAUUUCUGAGAGUGAUUGUACAUUUGCAGUUGGUCCAAAGCUUGUGAUAUUAAAGAGCUAGCUCUACUGUUGGAGAAUGGGGAACCCACUGGAAGGAAAACAUGUCAUUUCAUUCAGAUCAACAAUAAAAACAAGGAUUUUCAGUAGAAGGAAUCUUUGCUAUUAAGCAUUUCUUUGAUAGACAAUAUUUCAUCUUCUUUGAUUUAGUUGGGCUAUUUUGAUUUACAUAUUAAAGGAUAGAGAUCCUGCGCUAUAUAUAUGGUUUAUCUAAGCAAAGACAAAACAAGAUUCUUUUUGUAGAAAGCAUACAUUUUGCACAUUGGUUGGCUAUAUAAUACAUGUUCCAUACCAUAUAUAUAGUAAUACAUAGAAUAUUUGUCACGUAUUCACUUGACCUUAUACUAAAAGAAAGCUAAAGAUUGGUAGAGCACUUUACUUUAUCACUUUUACUUUUUUUGUUGGCUUUUUUUUUCUUUUUGAGACAAGGUCUCCCUAUGUAGUUCAGGCUGGCCUUGAACUAUCACUUUUACUUUUAAGAUUUAGUAGACUUAAGCCGGGUGUGAUGAUG
rnacentral:lncRNA from 1 species